CUGGGAAAGGAUCAAUAACCAAUUGGUACCCAGAAGCAAAUCCAUGAGUCACAGUUCAAAGGUCUAAUUCUUACAAAUAUGUUUCCUGACAAUUUGAAUUUGGAAAGGAACGAUUUUAUCUUCCUUUCUCCACUAUGUACCAUAGAGGGAAAUCUGGGAGAGCCGACUUCAGUAAGGAUUCUUACUUUUUGCUGAUUUCUAUCAGUUUUCGCCAGAUCCUAUCUGCAGGCUCUGGAGUGAGUGGGGUGUCCCAGUGGAUCUCAUCUUGGUCACCAGAAACUGUAGAGGAAGAAAGAUUAUUUCUCCUCCACCCUUUAUGAAUUCCUGACCUGGAAUGAACAUCCAUCAAAAUUGUUUUUAAAGAUUCUUAUCCCUCUCUCAUCAAUCUGUUCUUCGUCUCAAGUGUGAAAGCCCUGGAAUGAGGUA